rnacentral:rRNA from 1 species
AUGGCUCAGGAUGAACGCUAGCUACAGGCUUAACACAUGCAAGUCGAGGGGCAGCAUUGGGAUAGCUUGCUAUUCAGAUGGCGACCGGCGCACGGGUGAGUAACGCGUAUCCAACCUUCCUGCCAGUAGGGAACAGCCCGGCGAAAGUCGGAUUAAUGCCCUAUGUUCUUCAAUGCGGACAUCUAAGUUGAAGGAAAGAUUCAUCGCUGGCAGAUGGGGAUGCGUCCGAUUAGCUUGCCGGCGGGGUAACGGCCACCGGGGCGACGAUCGGUAGGGGUUCUGAGAGGAAGGUCCCCCACACUGGUACUGAGACACGGACCAGACUCCUACGGGAGGCAGCAGUGAGGAAUAUUGGUCAAUGGGCGUAAGCCUGAACCAGCCAAGUAGCGUGCCAGGACGACGGCCCUACGGGUUGUAAACUGCUUUUAUGCGGGGAUAAAGUGCGGCACGUGUGCCGCUUUGCAGGUACCGCAUGAAUAAGGACCGGCUAAUUCCGUGCCAGCCGCCGC